rnacentral:rRNA from 1 species
CAAUUUAAAAGUUUGAUCAUGGCUCAGAUUGAACGCUGGCGGCAGGCCUAACACAUGCAAGUCGAACGGUAACAGGAAGCAGCUUGCUGCUUUGCUGACGAGUGGCGGACGGGUGAGUAAUGUCUGGGAAACUGCCUGAUGGAGGGGGAUAACUACUGGAAACGGUAGCUAAUACCGCAUAACGUCGCAAGACCAAAGAGGGG